AAUAGGAGAGGAAAUAAAAAGCAGGCCUUGAGAGAAAGAGUAGAGAAAGUUUUUUUAUCUCUGUUUAUUUUCUUUGAACGAGAGAGAUAGAGAAAGAAAGAGAUUUUGGUUAUUUUUUGUUUUGUUUUGUUUUAUUAAAUGCAUUGCCAUGUGUUGACUUUCUAUUGGGGGCUUAAAAAGUUUUUGAAGAAAAUUUUCUUUCUCUUUCCAUUGGAAUACUCCGCCCCAUUUCUCCCUCUUUCUUAACUUAUUUUUCUUUUUUUUUUU
rnacentral:lncRNA from 1 species